AAAAAAAAAAAAAGAACUACUCAAGAAUGGGAAGGUACUCGUUCACUUCCUCGUCGAGGCUUCUCGCUUAUAUAUGCAGGCCACAACUCGGGGCUGCCCUGGGAGCGGCGAUUACUCCUCUUUUUUUACUCUCCACAAUAAGAUUCUCCAUCAAAGACUCGUCUACCGUAGGAAGAAAACGCUUUCUAAGAGGCUUCAUCUGGGGGCCGGUGGCGAUGGAAUCGAUCUCGACUUUGUCUCAACGUACUUUUUCUUGGAACGUAGUCUAGCAGUAACAUUUGAAUUUUUCUUUUCUGUUUCCACUCUGAUGCUGUGUUUAACAGGGAUGGAGAGUAAAU